rnacentral:rRNA from 1 species
UACGGGGGGGGCAAGCGUUGUUCGGAAUUACUGGGCGUAAAGAGUGCGUAGGCGGUUCGUUAUGUCUGUGGUGAAAGCCCUGGGCUCAACCUAGGAAUGGCCAUGGAAACUGGCGGGCUGGAGUAUGGCAGAGGGAGGUGGAAUUCCACGUGUAGCGGUGAAAUGCGUAGAGAUGUGGAGGAACACCGAUGGCGAAGGCAGCCUCCUGGGCCAAUACUGACGCUCAUGCACGAAAGCGUGGGGAGCAAACAGG